GUCUCCUUGUCAUCUCCGCCCUAGAUUCUCGUGUCGCCUCAUCAUUUCUUUCCAGAUUUCUUCUGUUUCUCUAUCGCUGAGUCUCCCUCCGCAUCCCCAUGUUUCCCUGUGGCUCUGCUCUUGUGUUUCUUUGUCUGUGCACGUGCCUAUGUCACUUAGUCCCCGUGUCUCGCUGCAUUCCUUUGACUGUGUGCGUCUCUCUUUACGUCCCUGUCACUUUCUGUUUCUUGUCUCAUAGUUUUGUCUGUGUCACUCUUAAUAUUUCUGUCCCUGCAUCUGGCCUCUGGGUCCCUCCCACCCAGUGUCCUUUUUUAUAUCGCAGCCUUCCGCUAGGGGGCAGCAUAAACCAGCCCAGCAGGCCGAACCCCGCUGGGUGGGGCUGGGCCAGUCAAUCUGUCCUCUGGCCCUACCAGUCCCUUCCGGUUGUCCUUGUCCCACUUUCUCUAUCGCACCAGAAUCCUGUGGUCUUUGUUGCUGGUUUUGAGGCGGCCCUUUUGUCUCUUCCUAGACGCUCCGCUCCUCUCCACGCCCACCUGCCUUUUCACAUUCCCAGGGCCGCCCAGGGGAGCUAGGGAGAAGGGCCACUUGUUGGGGUGGGGGAGGGGACCCGCUGCUGGAGCGCCUCAUGGCCAAUCCACCCCAAGGGCCAGGCAUUUGCAGGUUUCUUGUGAAAGCCGCCUGGGCUGGGCUGGGGCCCCUUCUGCAGCCUGCCACAUACACGAAGGCCCUCUCCUAAGUGGCGAGGCCCACGGAGUGGACGCUGGCUCUGACCCACUUGCUUCCCACUCUUGCUAAUGCUCCUAUUUGUUGGUCUGCUAAGUAUUCUGUGUGCGUGUGGGCCAUGGCCGACAACUUGCUUUGAGUUGGUUCUUCCAUCAAGUGGGUGCCGGGGCCCCGACUCACAUGGCCAAGUUUGGUGGCAGGUGCUUUACCCUGGAAACCAGUCCACCCACCUUGGUUUUGUUUUAUGAGAUGGCGGCUGACCAGCAGAGGGUUACAAUCCUGAGACUGUAGGCUCGCACCGACGACGCUCUGGGCCAUGUGGCCUGUUCAGGAAGAGCCAGCCCUCUCCACUGUGAGCUGCUGCUGUAUCCCUUUAGCAACAUUGUUAAAGGGUUUUAGCUUUGCCCAUCCACCAGGCACUCAUGUAAGCCUGCUCCAAAUAAUCCCCCCAAUCAAACCAUGGUGGAGGUAGGGGAACUGAGUCAUGGGGAGGGAAAAUGACUUGGUCCCAAAGGUCAGGGUUACAAACAGAGGCGGGACCACGAUAGACACUAUUCCAAAUUCCUUUGUCCUUGUUCCUUGCUCACAAGAAUCUCAGGAAGGGGGUCAGACUGGGGCUGUGCAACUUUAAUCCCAGCCCUCAGGUGGCAGAAGCAGAAAGAUCUCACCGAGUUCGAAGCCAGUGUGGUCUGCAGAGCCAGUUCUAAUCAGCCAUGGCCACCAUGUGACGAUCAGCAUGUCUGAAAAGUGGGCUAAGGCCCUGGCCCUUUCCAAACCGCCGUCAGGGGAGUAGCAGCGUGAGGUGUGGGGAUGAGCGGCUGCCUCAGACUGCCCACAGCAGCCGAUUGUGAUUUUCUUCGCGCUCUAGCAGAAGUGUCGACUCGUCAGCUGCAGAACCAAAUGACGAUGCUCAGACUGGUACAGCUGUGUCCGAGCAGCUGCCUGGCGGACCCAGCACUGUUUUUCUGAAGCUGUUUUAUCUUGACUCAACUAAAGAUGGAGACGGACUGGGGGCUGGAGAGAUGGCUCAGUGGUUAAGAGCACUGACUGCUCUUAUAGAGGUCCUGAGUUCAAGUCCCAGCAACUGCCUGGUGGCUCACAACCAUCUGUAAUGGGUUCCUAUACCCUCUUCUGGUGUGUCUGAAGACAGCUACAGUGUAUUCAUAUAAAUAAGAUAAAUCUUUUA